GGGUCGUCUCCCUUAUCCUGCGUCAUCGCCUGCCUCUUCUCCUCCCCUCCUUUCGUUUCGUUGCUCAAUCCUCUCUGUAGUCCUGCUCCCUGGUCCAUGAGUCGUCGCUGGGUUGGUCGCCGAGGGGCUCCGAUGGCGGCGCGCUGGGGUGACGUCGGCUAAGGUCCGUUGUUCUCCUCCUCACUUGGCCUAGAUUUGCUGUGCCGCUGGUCGAUCUAUGAUGGUCUUCGCGUUUUCAUCAGGAAACUACAGCUUGUUUCAGUUACAACUGAGUUCUUGGGUUGCACUUUGUUGUUGGAAACUACUUACUGGUGGA